rnacentral:rRNA from 1 species
UACGUAGGGGGCAAGCGUUGUCCGGAUUUAUUGGGCGUAAAGAGCGUGUAGGCGGCCCGACAGGUCCGUUGUGAAAACUCGAGGCGCAACCUCGAGACGUCGAUGGAAACCGUCGGGCUAGAGUCCGGAAGAGGAGAGUGGAAUUCCUGGUGUAGCGGUGAAAUGCGCAGAUAUCAGGAAGAACACCAAUGGCGAAGGCAGCUCUCUGGGACGGUACUGAUGCUGAGACGCGAAAGCGUGGGGAGCGAACAGG